rnacentral:rRNA from 1 species
AGAGUUCAAGAGUACGUGAAACCGUUCAGGGGUAAACCUGAGAAACCCAAAAGAUCGAAUGGGGAGAUUCAUCGUCAGCACACUUUGUAUAUAUAUAAUUUGCGAUGGGGAACAUUUUGCUGAGCUUUUUGAACGGCCUUAUGCUUCCUCACGUUAUUAUAUAUUUUUUCGCAAGGUGUUUUGUCGGCGUGCACUUCUCCCCUAGUAGGACCUCGCGACUCGUUGGAUGUCGGUCUACGGCCCAUGCUGGAAGCCUUUAAUCUUUCUAAUUACAAACCUCUCUUUUUUUUUUCUUUUAAACGGGGGAGGGAAGAGAGAGGGGAAAUGUUAAAGACACAUGGUGCUACCUGACCGACUGUCCGGCGGUACUCGAACGGUAUUGAGCCGCAUUAUAUUUGGCUUUUCUGCAAAGAAAGGUCCAAACAAAAUUUGCGCCCGUGUUCGUCGCAAGCGAGGCCACAUUCAUUUACAAAGUAGUACGGACCCAGUGCCGUCGCUUGGUGUGGUCAGCUGUUGGCUGUACGAAAUUUUUUUAAACAAAAAAAGAGCACCAGUGGUUUUUCUUUUUUUGCCUCUCGGGCCGGCUCUCAAAAAAACAAUAUUACCGGUCGGCGAUGCUACUGCUUUGGGUACUUUCAGGACCCGUCUUGAAACACGGACCAAGGAGUCUAACAUGUGCGCGAGUCAUUGGGAUUUAUUUUUUUUUACAUUUAAACCUAAAGGCGCAAUGAAAGUAAAUGUCGUCCUCGCGGCGACUCAGGGAGGAUCAAUUCUCUUAUAUAAGCAUAUUCUAAUCAAUAUCUUAUACUCUGAGCUUUGCGCACUCCCGGGGCGUCUCAUUCUCAUUAUGAGAAGAGGCG